GUGGAUGUAGCUCAGUGGUUGAGCACUUGCCUCACACGUGUGAGAUCCUAGAUUCCAUCCCCAGCACCGACA
rnacentral:tRNA from 1 species